UCCGGUACUAAGGAAUAGCCUUUGGAAACGAAGAGUAAUACCUUAUACGCCCUUCGGGGGAAAGAUUUAUCGGUAUCGGAUUAGCCCGCGUAAGAUUAGAUAGUUGGUGGGGUAAUGGCCUACCAAGUCUACGAUCUUUAGCUGGUUUUAGAGGAUGAUCAGCAACACUGGGACUGAGACACGGCCCAGACUCCUACGGGAGGCAGCAGUGGGGAAUCUUAGACAAUGGGCGCAAGCCUGAUCUAGCCAUGCCGCGUGAGUGAAGAAGGCCUUAGGGUCGUAAAACUCUUUCGCCAGAGAUGAUAAUGACAGUAUCUGGUAAAGAAACCCCGGCUAACUCCGUGCCAGCAGCCGCGGUAAUACGGAGGGGGUUAGCGUUGUUCGGAAUUACUGGGCGUAAAGCGCACGUAGGCGGACUGGAAAGUUGGGGGUGAAAUCCCGGGGCUCAACCUCGGAACUGCCUCCAAAACUAUCAGUCUAGAGUUCGAGAGAGGUGAGUGGAAUUCCAAGUGUAGAGGUGAAAUUCGUAGAUAUUUGGAGGAACACCAGUGGCGAAGGCGGCUCACUGGCUCGAUACUGACGCUGAGGUGCGAAAGUGUGGGGAGCAAACAGGAUUAGAUACCCUGGUAGUCCACACCGUAAACGAUGAAUGCCAGUCGUCGGCAAGUAUACUUGUCGGUGACACACCUAACGGAUUAAGCAUUCCGCCUGGGGAGUACAAUCGCAAGAUUAAAACUCAAAGGAAUUGACGGGGGCCCGCACAAGCGGUGGACCAUGUGGUUUAAUUCGAAGC
rnacentral:rRNA from 1 species